UACGUAGGGUGCAAGCGUUGUCCGGAAUUACUGGGCGUAAAGGGCGCGUAGGCGGAUGUUUAAGUCGGGGGUGAAAGCCCGGGGCUCAACCCCGGAAUUGCCUUCGAUACUGGACAUCUUGAGUACGGGAGAGGUGAGUGGAACUCCGAGUGUAGAGGUGAAAUUCGUAGAUAUUCGGAAGAACACCAGUGGCGAAGGCGACUCACUGGCCCGUUACUGACGCUGAGGCGCGAAAGCGUGGGGAGCAAACAGG
rnacentral:rRNA from 1 species